rnacentral:rRNA from 1 species
GACAAACGCUGGCGGCGUGCCUAAUACAUGCAAGUAGAACGCUGAAGAGAGGAGCUUGCUCUUCUUGGAUGAGUUGCGAACGGGUGAGUAACGCGUAGGUAACCUGCCUUGUAGCGGGGGAUAACUAUUGGAAACGAUAGCUAAUACCGCAUAACAAUGGAUGACACAUGUCAUUUAUUUGAAAGGGGCAAUUGCUCCACUACAAGAUGGACCUGCGUUGUAUUAGCUAGUAGGUGAGGUAACGGCUCACCUAGGCGACGAUACAUAGCCGACCUGAGAGGGUGAUCGGCCACACUGGGACUGAGACACGGCCCAGACUCCUACGGGAGGCAGCAGUAGGGAAUCUUCGGCAAUGGGGGCAACCCUGACCGAGCAACGCCGCGUGAGUGAAGAAGGUUUUCGGAUCGUAAAGCUCUGUUGUAAGCCAAGAACGAGUGUGAGAGUGGAAAGUUCACACUGUGACGGUAGCUUACCAGAAAGGGACGGCUAACUACGUGCCAGCAGCCGCGGUAAUACGUAGGUCCCGAGCGUUGUCCGGAUUUAUUGGGCGUAAAGCGAGCGCAGGCGGUUUGAUAAGUCUGAAGUUAAAGGCUGUGGCUCAACCCUAGUUCGCUUUGGAAACUGUCAAACUUGAGUGCAGAAGGGGAGAGUGGAAUUCCAUGUGUAGCGGUGAAAUGCGUAGAUAUAUGGAGGAACACCGGUGGCGAAAGCGGCUCUCUGGUCUGUAACUGACGCUGAGGCUCGAAAGCGUGGGGAGCGAACAGGAUUAGAUACCCUGGUAGUCCACGCCGUAAACGAUGAGUGCUAGGUGUUGGAUCCUUUCCGGGAUUCAGUGCCGCAGCUAACGCAUUAAGCACUCCGCCUGGGGAGUACGACCGCAAGGUUGAAACUCAAAGGAAUUGACGGGGGCCCGCACAAGCGGUGGAGCAUGUGGUUUAAUUCGAAGCAACGCGAAGAACCUUACCAGGUCUUGACAUCCCGAUGCUAUUUCUAGAGAUAGAAAGUUACUUCGGUACAUCGGUGACAGGUGGUGCAUGGUUGUCGUCAGCUCGUGUCGUGAGAUGUUGGGUUAAGUCCCGCAACGAGCGCAACCCCUAUUGUUAGUUGCCAUCAUUCAGUUGGGCACUCUAGCGAGACUGCCGGUAAUAAACCGGAGGAAGGUGGGGAUGACGUCAAAUCAUCAUGCCCCUUAUGACCUGGGCUACACACGUGCUACAAUGGUUGGUACAACGAGUUGCGAGUCGGUGACGGCAAGCUAAUCUCUUAAAGCCAAUCUCAGUUCGGAUUGUAGGCUGCAACUCGCCUACAUGAAGUCGGAAUCGCUAGUAAUCGCGGAUCGGCACGCCGCGGUGAAUACGUUCCCGGGCCU